rnacentral:tRNA from 1 species
GGCCUAUUAGCUCAGUUGGUUAGAGCGUGGUGCUAAUAACGCCAAGGUCGUGGGUUCAGUUCCCACACGGGUCA